CGAGAAAGGACAUAUGCUUAAAUUAAUAAGAGUACAACAAACAGUAGCCCCAUAAUCUGAAGCAAAUAGACAAUUCUAUAGAGAAGCAGCAUGUCAAGGAGCAGCCUGUCGGAGAGAUACAUUUCGAUGAUCAAGUGCAAAUGAAUUAUGUCACUCCUUAAACAGAUGAUCAACCUAAAGAAUAAGCUGAAUAUGUAAUUGCACAACUUAAGAAUGCCGGAUUAAUUAAUCCUAUCAUAAUGGAAGCAUUGUUCAUUCCUUCACCAAUAGAAUCUACUUAUGUUCAAGGGGCCGAGCAAGGUGAUGAAAUUGAAGAAGGCGAUGAAAGCAGUAGUGAAGACUUG
rnacentral:misc_RNA from 1 species